rnacentral:rRNA from 1 species
GUGGGGAAUAUUGGACAAUGGGCGAAAGCCUGAUCCAGCCAUGCCGCGUGAGUGAAGAAGGCCUUAGGGUUGUAAAGCUCUUUCGACGGGGACGAUGAUGACGGUACCCGUAGAAGAAGCCCCGGCUAACUUCGUGCCAGCAGCCGCGGUAAUACGAAGGGGGCAAGCGUUGUUCGGAUUUACUGGGCGUAAAGGGCGCGUAGGCGGAUAGACAAGUCAGAGGUGAAAGCCCUGGGCUCAACCCGGGAACUGCCUUUGAAACUGUUUGUCUUGAGUAUGGGAGAGGAUGGCGGAAUACCCAGUGUAGAGGUGAAAUUCGUAGAUAUUGGGUAGAACACCAGUGGCGAAGGCGGCCAUCUGGCCCAUAACUGACGCUGAGGCGCGAAAGCGUGGGGAGCAAACAGGAUUAGAAACCCGAGUAGUCC